rnacentral:rRNA from 1 species
GAUCAACGCUGGCGGCGUGCCUCAGACAUGCAAGUCGAACGAUUAAAGCUCUCUUCGGAGAGUGCAUAGAGUGGCGCACGGGUGAGUAACACGUAAGUAAUCUACCUUCGAGUGGGGAAUAACGUCCGGAAACGAGCGCUAAUACCGCAUAAUGCAGCGGCAUCGCAAGAUGACAGUUGUUAAAGGAGCAAUCCGCUUGAAGAGGAGCUUGCGGCAGAUUAGCUAGUUGGUAGGGUAAUGGCCUACCAAGGCUACGAUCUGUAACCGGUCUUAGAGGACGGUCGGUCACACUGACACUGAAUAACGGGUCAGACUCCUACGGGAGGCAGCAGUCGGGAAUUUUGGGCAAUGGGGGAAACCCUGACCCAGCAACGCCGCGUGAAGGAUGAAGUAUUUCGGUAUGUAAACUUCGAAAGAAUAGGAAGAAUUAAUGACGGUACUAUUUAUAAGGUCCGGCUAACUACGUG